rnacentral:misc_RNA from 1 species
CCAAUAGCGUAUAUUAAAGUUGUUGCAGUUAAAAAGCUCGUAGUUGAAUUUCGGAAUCAAUAUAUCGGUCGUGCCUCUGGUACGCACUUAUUUAUUGAUUUCUCACUUCUGACGAAUCAUAAUGUCAUUAGUUUGGUGUUAUGAGGAAUCAGGACUGUUACUUUGAAAAAAUUAGAGUGUUUAAAGCAGGCUCGCGCUUGAAUACAUUAGCAUGGAAUAAUGAAAUAGGAUGUUUGAUCUUAUUUUGUUGGUUUCUAGGAUCGACAUAAUGAUUAAUAGGGGUAGUUGGGGGCAUUAGUAUUCAAUUGUCAGAGGUGAAAUUCUUGGAUUUAUUGAAGACUAACUACUGCGAAAGCAUUUGCCAAGGAUGUUUUCAUUAAUCAAGAACGAAAGUUAGGGGAUCGAAGACGAUCAGAUACCGUCGUAGUCUUAACCAUAAACUAUGCCGACUAGGGAUCGGAUGAUGUUAUUUUUUAAUGACUCAUUCGGCACCUUACG